UGCCAGCAGCCGCGGUAAUACGGAGGGGACUAGCGUUGUUCGGAAUUACUGGACGUAAAGAGUACGUAGGCUGUUUAUCAAGUUGGAUGUGAAAGCCCAGGGCUCAACCCUGGAACUGCAUUCAAAACUGGUAAGCUAGAGAUCGGAAGAGGUAAGUGGAAUUCCCAGUGUAGAGGUGAAAUUCGUAGAUAUUGGGAAGAACACCAGUGGCGAAGGCGGCUUACUGGUCCGAUACUGACGCUGAGGUACGAAAGCGUGGGGAGCAAACAGGAUUAGAUA
rnacentral:rRNA from 1 species